UACAUGGAGUGGGGCCUGGAAUGGAGGCGACGUCCAUCUCCUCAAAUACAAUGUAACAGCAUGUAGAGCAGCCCCUAGAUUACUCAGCAUUUCGAUCGUCCACGCGAGCUUAGCGCUUGGAGCGGAGUACAGCAUGCAAGCAGCGGAAGUUUUCACCGCCAGCCGAGGCGCCGAGCAUCACUCCGACAAGCCUGCUUGGGCAUAAGCCCUACCUAGCCUUGGGAGACCCUGGCCAGCACAUCACUACGGCAUCAGUACAAGACAUACUCGAGCAAAGGUGGAAUACACACAAUAUGUUUGGGCGAACGGCCCUCCACUCUGCUCGCCGCGCAUAAAAACGUCAAUCUUCAGCUGCAAGUGAUCCAGACCAGCGUGACACGAACAGAUUGCAUUCGUGGACAAACUAAAAAGGGCCAAUUAGCAGCCGAACAGGAAUAUCAGUACAUUGCAGGCGAGGAGUUCAGGUGACUAGCUUCGAGUAGCCGAUGUCAGACUCAGUGAGUGCAUCAGACAUCUGUCUACAUAAGUGAACUUCUCAGUUUUAUCACCUCAGUACUGUGAACUGUCUCGUCCGUACACCAGUAAUGGUACUGCCCCCAACAGAUGAUAAGCAUCUACUGUAUCUCAGCACCACCAAGUUAGUGCCGAGAGGCGAUAGAAUUGGGCAUCGGACGUUCAGCGCGAGAGAUUGUAGAUUUACAUUGUACAUGUACAUGUAUGCGCAUACAUUUGUAUGUCCGUGGAUUGUUGCGUCUUCUGGUUUGCGAUCAGAGAAACGUGCUAAUUAUUGUGUUACGCGCACCGCUAAUUAGGCCUGGUGUACCAGCCUUCGUCGAUCCUCGGGGCAAGAUCGCCUCUGUCCAUUUGCCACGCUGACACGUUGUGAGCGUGAUUGAGGAAACACUCCGAGUAAGUCUCUCCCAUCGGGAUACCACAGUUCCAUCUUCCGACCAGCGUAGCAGAUUUCCGCCGGUCGAUCGCCUUCGCGAGGUUGCAGCUUUGGCUCGCUGCUCCUACUCCUGCUGCACUACACUACCAUACAGGUGUCGUUUGAACACGUGACAGCUUUGGAUUGAAUUAUUUGCAGCUGAGUGGCUGGAUAUAAGCCCAUCUUCUUGACUGUUUCUACCAUUGUUGAAUCGAGACAUACAGUGGCUGGAUACAUAGCGAAACGGCUGCUUCCACAGGAGCAGUGCAGGAAGAGACUCCUGUAACCACAUGGUGGAUCGCAAGCUUCGGCCGGUGCUGAAAGUAUCCUAAAAGUAUCGCAGCCUUCAAAUCGAAUAUUGUCUAUGUUCGGUCUAUACAAGGCCGGUUCAUGCAACAAGUACGUGCCAAUGUUCUAGACUGCUCCGGGCGACAUUCUCAGUAGUGUGUCCAACAACCUAGCCAGGACCCGUUUUUCCUGCGUCAGUGCAAAUUUGUAGAGGCCAACAACACUCUGAAUGCAACAGCUCUGAACGCCGUCUCGCCAGCAUUGUGAGCACCGAAAACCGUGUUUCUUGCAAGUGUUUCUGCACUCUCGUUAUCAUUAUUCCGUCCCCGCCGACACGCCCGUGUGAAACACUCAGUUUGAUCAGCUUUGGGACAGCAGUUAGUACGCUUGGAGGGUGCCCGCAUACGACCAGCAACAGCGAUACUCUACCCCGACACGACAUCGGCUCAAUAUGGCGGCUAGAUUCAGCUCGGCCCACCUGCGGCAUGCAGUCCUAAUUGUAAUGGUACUGGUCGUGUUCUUGACCCGGAUAAUUUCCGCUCUGCCCACACAGCUCCGGAGUACGGCCAUGGACGACAGCGGUAAACAAUUCAGUGCUCACAGUCCAGAUGUGGCCUUGCUCGUCGAGUCCACCGCCACCAUAUUCAACAUGUGUCGGCAUACCAACAUGUAUCGCCGCGAGUGCGAAUGGCACAAGUCCAAGAUCUCCAAGAUUCUGAAGCGCAUUUUCAAAGUCUAUGACGUGAGCACGAACGAGACAACGAGGUUACGGAUACGCGAGGAUGCGCUAAGCACAACUGUGAACGCCAUGGUAUCGGAAAACAAGAUAGCUCUGCUGGAGCGGGCCAGCCUGCAGGUUAUGUCAUUCUGUGUGCUCAAUCUGUCAUACUGCAAAACCGAUAUGGACUACGUGCUCCUAAACUUCGACCCCGCAAUUCGCAGAGGGUAGUGAGGCUCUUGGCUGAUCAAUCAUCGCCCAGCCUCUAUUUCCUUGUGUGUCGCCAUGUUAGGUUAGUAGGUGUUCUUGUUUGUUUGAUUGCCGUAUCGUCAUCGCCAACAGACUUGAGAGAAUUCUGUAGAGUGUUUUUUAUACAACUACUGACACUGUCCAGGGAUCACAAUUAUUAUUAUUACUACUACUAGAGAUUAGUUUGUUGACCAGCAUUACCCGCGUCACAGCGUGUGUUGUAUUUCAGUUGAUCUUGAUGACGGAUUAUUUGAGUUUCGAACACUGCGCCCCAUUCAAAACCCGAUUUGUCACCGUCCACAACUUUAUAACAGUCUUGAGAGAAAAUGACGAAUUGCAUACCUCUAUUCCGUUUAUAUCUAGACCCCGAAACACUUGUCCUUUUACCACUACAUGUAUCUGCUGUACUUGGAUUUCAGCGUUUGGAAACUUUUCUUGUGCAAGUGCCGGUACUAAACUGA